ensembl:lncRNA
CUGCUUCUAUCCCCCAAAUUUUACCAAACCUACUCACUAUUUCAUUCAUUCAUCUAUUCAACAAUAUAUCCAAGUGCUUAUUUUCCUAGCUUCUAGGUGUUUAAAGACCACAGUGACUUGGACGCAUAGACUUGAUAUUUGUUUUUAGAGAACAGUUAAAUUUAGUUUGAAAAAUAUGUUUUCUGCCUUUCCAUAAAGCAAUGAAUGAAUGGUAAACCUCUCACAAAAGUGGAUGAUCUCGGAGCUGACCCUCAGUCACACCUACGGCUCCCAGCCUGAUGGCUUGUUUUGCAGCAGAUGUGGCAGAGGCAGCGUGGAGCUGUGACGAGCAUCUUCUGUGUUAAGUGCCUUUGCCUGGAGACCAAUUCACAGAUAUGUUUGCUUCAUUAUCAUCAUAUUAAAAUCUCAGGCUAUACAACAGAAUUUAUGUGGAUUAGCAUGGAUUCAACCUCCUCUCUAAGCCUCUAAGAAGAUGGUGAAAAAUAGAAAUAGGUGGAAAGACUUCUUCAUUGGAAUAUGACACAUCCUCAAAAAUAGAGGCUUCUUUUUCUUUUUUAAUCCUGCCACAUCAAUCAGUAUAACAUUCUAAGUGAUGUCAGCAUCGUGGUGGAGUGAGUUCUCCCCGUAAUCUCUCCCCUCCACCAUACAAUGAAAAAAGACAUUCAUCCUCCAACAGAGGACAUCCAAACACGACACAAAAGAUGUCUGAGAGACCCAUGCAACCAUACGGCAGAGGGCAGAGAGGCUGGAGCCCCCUCAGAGGAGGUGGAACAGGAUCUCUUGUUGCAGCUUUCCUUGGGUUGGGUCCAACAGAAAGCCAGAUGGUACAAGAGCUGAGCUGAUGGAGCCUGUCUGAGUCUCCAGCACAGAUAGCAGACAGCAGAUCCCAGCUAUCUGGAGGGGCAAAUAGAGGAUAUUCAGCUGAUUGUCUGCUUUGUAAACAUAUUAAACAACCUCUUAUCCUUUUGAAGUAGACAAGUUAUAAAUGAGGCUGUGACCUUGGCAGAGAGAUGUUUCUCUUCAGCAGAGGCAAUUCCUGAAGACAGCUGACGACUGAGGGUUGUGCUCCAGCAGCACUUGGAGCAGCCGGCGGACUGAGUCCUUCGUUCCUAAAGAACAGCUCCUCACAGUAUCCACAAGCAGGAGGAUCAAAGAAAGAGAAAUCCAGAGAUUUCGGAUGAAGCAUCAUUUUUAGAAUUAGGUAAACAUACAAGCUUCUAGAUCCAACUCCCAAUUUAUGGAAAAACAGAGGACAAAGAAAAAUAUUAAAUGGAGCCAAAGCGAUGCAAUCGACAAAAUCUGGAGUGUGGGUUCUUCAACAACUAAAUUGCAAGGAAGAAAAGAGAGGGACGAGGAAUCUGCAGAUCAAAAGAGUUGAGAGAUCUAUUAAUCAAUUGCAAUGUAUGGACAUUACUUUGGUUCUGAUUCGAACAAAUAAACUUAAAAAUUAUGGAAAAAACAGGAAAAUUUGAAUACUGAAUGGAUACUCAAGGCCAUUAAGAAAUUAGUAUUAAUUAUUUAGGUGAGAUAAUCAUGUCAUGGAUAUAUUGAAAUAAUCCUUAUUUUUAAAAUCUUAACGUUAAAAAAAGUGUUUGGAUGAAGUGAUAAAAUUUGCUUUCAAAUAAUCGGGGAAGUUGGAGGAAGUGGAUAGAGGUAUAAAGAAACAAGAGUGUUAUUUCUUCUUCUAUAGGUUUGAAAUUUUAUAUAAACAAGUUUUUUUAAUUGAAGUAAAAUUGAC